rfam:Lottia gigantea unplaced genomic scaffold LOTGIsca_539, whole genome shotgun sequence.
GGUUCUGUAGUGUAGCGGUUAUCACGUCUGCUUUACACGCAGAAGGUCGCGAGUUCGAGCCUCGCCAGAACCU